UACAGAGGGUGCGAGCGUUGUCCGGAAUCACUGGGCGUAAAGGGCGCGUAGGCGGUCUGGUAAGCGUGUGGUGAAAGCUCGGGGCUCAACCCCGAGUCGGCCGUGCGAACUGCUGGACUGGAGCAUGUCAGAGGCAGGCGGAAUUCCGGGUGUAGCGGUGGAAUGCGUAGAGAUCCGGAAGAACACCGGUGGCGAAGGCGGCCUGCUGGGCAGUAGCUGACACUGAGGAGCGAAAGCGUGGGGAGCAAACAGG
rnacentral:rRNA from 1 species